GUGUGUGUGUGUGUGUUAGAACCACAUGAAAGCUUAGAAUGUCAGUGGUGUUCUACCUCAGUGCUACUCGUGCACACUCUUGAGGAGGGAGCAUGAGGGAUGUCUCUUUGUACUGUUUUUAAAACACAAGGAAUAAUACUAAAUGCAAUAUUCAAAGAGGGGAUCCAGGUCUAAUUUGUGAAGCAAGGUUAAACUUCUGACCAAUGAAUGCUGCUUAAAUUAAACGGACCAUGAAUCUGGCUUCGGCUGCCAAUCCCAUAGUAAAGGCAGAGUUGAGGGAGAGAGGAGAGCAUGAGAGGAGAGCAUGGCCUCGUAGCAUGAAAACCAGAAGGACGCACCAACAGAGCAUCCAUGCAACGGCAGCUCCAUCACUUCCUGAUUCUAAUUCCAGAACUAUAGGAGAAUACACAACACUACGCUGUGGGUAGGCCACACAAUUGAAAAAGAAUUACCUUUCUGUGUUUGUGUGUGUCUGGGGAAAAAAAGAAGCUGUUUUUCUCUUCCAAAAGUUCAUCAUAAAUGAGAGGGCUGGUUGAAUAUGUCUAAUGGUGUUCGUGUAGCUGACUAUUCAUUGUCAAGAAAAGCUGAUUUUUCUCUUCACUGUUGCACAAGUGUCAGCUAGGCAGGAAGGGUGUGAGUGUCGAGUGGUUUCCUCAGUACUAUCUGUUGAUCAGAAACAGAAGUAGGCGAGAGGGGUGUGAAAGGCGUUUUCUCACUAGGUUUUUGUGGUAGACAAGAGAAGCCUACACCAAUCUUGAUGUGAAUGACAAAUGCCAAUGUACCAGGCAUUUUCGUGAGAGGGUGAACUGCUUCACAUUGCAAUUUUGAAGAGAAAAAAAAAUCAAAGAAAGAGAACACACGCCACUCGACCGACCAGCGCUGCAUCGCACACAACCGGAGAUAUGGUCAACAGCUCGACCGACAGUGGCUUGAAGGACCCACAUCUAACCACCAGACCAGGAUGUUUAGAUGUUCAUCCACGGCCUCCUCCCCUACCCUGCUCUGUCUAACCCUCUGGCCCCUGUGGAGCCUCCUGAUGUCUGCCUUCUGCCACCCUCACCACGGCCCCUGCAGACUGACCCAAAAGACUGCUCUCUGUAGCAACAGUGAGCUCUCAUCUGUACCUGGGGGCCUACCUGACAGCA